rnacentral:tRNA from 1 species
GCAUCCUUAGCUCAGUUGGAUAGAGCAACAACCUUCUAAGUUGAAGGUCACAGGUUCAACUCCUGUAGGAUGCG